ensembl:lncRNA
AUCGUGCUGGAGAUCUCUGCAUGCCUGAGGCCUUCUGAGGUGAGACAAUGAAUCCCAGAGCACAAGACCCUGUGUCAGUGAGUGAAGAAGCAGCCCGUGAUGUGUAAGCAAAGGGGCAAAGCAGCGUCUCACAGGGAAGUUUUAUAGGCAUAGGCACUCAGAAUUCCAGCGGCAAGCAGGAGCAAGAGUGGAUAUCCAGGCUCUCAGGAAGCAGCCAUUAUCACCAGGUUUUAUUGUGACAUGGAUCAGUUGGCAGGAAGUGUAUCUGUCAGCUCUCAAUCACACUUUGGAGGGCAGAACAGUCAUUUGGCAGAGCUCAAGUUAGUCGUCACCUGGCUCCCAUUGCAUUAUGGCUUUGGGCAGUGGGCGGGAACCAUUGGCUUUAUUGCUAGUUGGGAGAUGUAGGCCUCUAAGAUCCACCACUGCACCAUAGGAGCAGGCAGUCAAAUGGUGCCAGAGAGGCAAGGCUCUUUUCCUGGGUGAAGUUAACAGGUGCAUGGGAAUAAAAUAUUUGGCCCUUUGUGAGCUCAGGGGUAAAAACAGCCUGGGACUCUGGCCAAGGCAGCAAGGCCAGAGGGAACAGUUAGAGUAACGUAAUGGGGUUUCCUGCAAAACACUGCUAUGGACUUCCGACUGUAUUCUUCAACUUACCUAACUAAUGUUUUCUUCAGCACCGGCUUUUAAUUAAUUAUAAUAUCAUUAAUCACGUAAUUAUGGGCUCAUCCCAUCCUUAUGAGACUUGGGUAACUAAUAAGGACUGGUAACACUUUGGUUUAUUCUGCUGUGUUUUAUUGACUAAUUUAAUGUAGUUGAAAAGAAGCAAGCAUGCUGGGAGCAGAGUCUCCAAAACAUAAAAUUUAGCUGACAAUAUGCAACAUCUAGCUAUUUCUGGAGAGCUGAAGAAUAGGAUUAUUUUAUUUACACUUGUUUUUAUUUACACUGCUUUCUGCUGUCAGAACCCAGAGAAGAACUUGUUGGGAUCUGGUCGUGUCCAUUUAACUCAUUUUGUGCCCACAAGCACACACCAGUGGUAGGACAAACACAGUGGGAAAGGAUGAGUUCUUGAAGCCAGAGGCUGUUUUAUCACAAUAGGUCAGGUAAAUGUCCUUUAAAUAGAACACAGGGAGUUCUUUCUUAAGAGAUUAACUCCUGCAAGGGGCUGAAAUCUUGCUGUUGGGCUGUUUCAAAUCCUGUUGAUGCCAUAACACAUGGCAAUGAGUACAUUACAUUAAGAAUACAUGUGACUGACUGAAUGAUGUGAAACGGUUUCUACUUUUACUGGAUUGAUGUUAGAGACUUGGAUCUAAUGCUAGAGGUUGGACAAAGGCUAAUUAAUUUUCCAUAUCAUGCCUUUCUGUUCACCU